CAGAGCUGUUGAAAGUGUGACGGAGGCAGAGCUGUUGAAAGUGUGACGGAGGCAGAGCUGUUGAAAGUGUGACGGAGGCAGAGCUAUUGAAAGUGUGACGGAGGCAGAGCUAUUGAAAGUGGGACGGAGGCAGAGCUAUUGAAAGUGUGAAGGAGGCAGAGCCGUUGAAAGUGUGACGGAGGCAGAGCCGUUGAAAGUGUGACGGAGGCAGAGCUAUUGAAAGUGUGACGGAGGCAGAGCUGUUGAAAGUGGGACGGAGGCAGAGCUGUUGAAAGUGGGACGGAGGCAGAGCUGUUGAAAGUGGGACGGAGGCAGAGCUAUUGAAAGUGUGACGGAGGCAGAGCUGUUGAAAGUGUGACGGAGGCAGAGCUGUUGAAAGUGGGACGGAGGCAGAGCUGUUGAAAGUGGGACGGAGGCAGAGCUGUUGAAAGUGGGACGGACGCAGAGCUGUUGAAAGUGGGACGGAGGCAGAGCUGUUGAAAGUGGGACGGAGGCAGAGCUGUUGAAAGUGUGACGGAGGCAGAGCUAUUGAAAGUGUGACGGAGGCAGAGCUGUUGAAAGUGGGACAGAGGCAGAGUUGUUGAAAGUGUGACGGAGGCAGAGCUAUUGAAAGUGUGACGGAGGCAGAGCUGUUGAAAGUGGGACAGAGGCAGAGCUGUUGAAAGUGUGACGGAGGCAGAGCUAUUGAAAGUGUGACGGAGGCAGAGCUGUUGAAAGUGUGACGGAGGCAGAGCUAUUGAAAGUGGGACGGAGGCGGAGCUAUUGAAAGGAUGACGGAGGCAGAGCUAUUGAAAGUGUGACGGAGGCAGAGCCAUUGAAAGUGUGACGGAGGCAGAGCUGUUGAAAGUGUGACGGAGGCAGAGCUAUUGAAAGUGUGACGGAGGCAGAGCUAUUGAAAGUGUGACGGAGGCAGAGCUGUUGAAAGUGUGACGGAGGCAGAGCUAUUGAAAGUGGGACGGAGGCGGAGCUAUUGAAAGGGUGACGGAGGCAGAGCUAUUGAAAGUGUGACGGAGGCAGAGCCAUUGAAAGUGUGACGGAGGCAGAGCUAUUGAAAGGGUGACGGAGGCAGAGCUGUUGAAAGUGGGACGGAGGCAGAGCUAUUGAAAGUGUGAUGGAGGCAGAGCUGUUGAAAGUGGGACAGAGGCAGAGUUGUUGAAAGUGGGACGGAGGCAGAGCUAUUGAAAGUGUGACGGAGGCAGAGCUGUUGAAAGUGUGACGGAGGCAGAGCUAUUGAAAGUGUGAUGGAGGCAGAGCUGUUGAAAGUGUGACGGAGGCAGAGCUGUUGAAAGUGGGACGGACGCAGAGCUGUUGAAAGUGGGACAGAGGCAGAGUUGUUGAAAGUGGGACGGAGGCAGAGCUAUUGAAAGUGGGACAGAGGCAGAGCUAUUGAAAGUGUGAUGGAGGCAGAGCUGUUGAAAGUGUGACGGAGGCAGAGCUGUUGAAAGUGUGACGGAGGCAGAGCUGUUGAAAGUGGGACGGAGGCAGAGCUAUUGAAAGUGGGACGGAGGCAGAGCUAUUGAAAGUGGGACGGAGGCAGAGCUAUUGAAUGUCUGGAACCAGAAGCAUAAAGUUGCACCCUGACCCUUAAAAACAAAGUCUUAUAGAUCUUGUGUGGGAUUUUUCCUGCAGUCUUAUGUCAGCAUACAAUAUACACUGAGUGUACAAAACAUUAGGAACACCUUCCCAAUAUUGAGUUGAACCCCUUUUGCUUUCAGAACAGCCUCAAUUCGUUGGACUUGGAUUCUACAAGGGAUGCUGGCCCACGCCAAUGGUUCCCACAGUUGGGUUGGCUGGAUGUCCUUUGGGUGGUGGACCAUUCUUGAAAAACCCAACAGCGUUAAAGUUCUUGACACAUUUAAACCGGUGUGCCUGGCACCUACUACCAUACCCCAUUCAAAGCUCUUAAAUAUUUUUGUCUUGCCCAUUCACCCUGUUAUGGCACACAUUCACAAUCCAUGUCUCAAUUGUCCUUUACCCUGUUUUCUCCGUUUCAUCUACACUGAUUGAAGUGGAUUUAACAAGUGACAUCAAUAAGUGAUCACAGCUUUCACCUGGAUUCACCUGGUCAGUGUGUCAUGGACAAAACAUUAGGAACUCCUGCUUUGUCCACUCAGUGUAUUUUCAAUGCAUAUACUUAGAGCUAUAUUGAUCCAUUUUAUUCCCAGUGGAUUUACCAUAGACUUUAAGAGUGAGUAGUGAUUGAACCAACUCACUCACUGUCAAUGUCAAACCAAGUAAUUAAUUGGAGUCAAACACAUACACAAAAUUCAGCCUUGAAAGUUCCAGUGAGACAACUUCAGUCCAGUCAGAACAUUCCUUCCAAAGCAGGAAGUCAACCAUGCUGCCCUGGAUAUCGAGCAGACUAUACAGCAUCGCCGAAGGUCAGCAUUUGUGUCCUGAACCUUUAGAAAUCAUCUUCAGUUUAAAAGGGGUUUAUUAGGACUUUAAGAGGUUGUUGAUGUGUGACGACCACGGCAAUGACAACGAUGAUGUCAUGGCAACAGGGUUGUUCUUGAAGUGCGGUGGCAUUUGCAUCCCUUGCCUUUGCAACCAUGAAAAUAACAUUAGUGACACGUAGUUACAGAUGUUUAUGUUUAUACUGAACUGUUUAUCAAUCAUAAAACACUGCAAGUCCUUUAUACUGCAAAACUUUGUUUAACCAUUGUUUAAAGUACUUAGGGUAAGCAAAUUGGCUUGUCCCAGUAGUGAUGUGUGCAGUUGUGAUCGGGGAUUUAGAGAUAUCUAUGAUUUGAAAUGCUAGAAUUGUAUAUAUUGUACAGAUCAAUAAAUGCAAAGUUGUAUAAUGUGUAUUAUAAACUGGGUGGUUCUGAGCCCUGAAUGCUGAUUGGCUGACAGCCACGGUAUAUCACAACAUUUAUUUUUACUGCUCUAAUUACAUUGGUAACCAGUUUAUAAUAGCAGUAAGGCACCUCGGGGGUUUGUGGUAAAUGACCAAUAUACCACGGUUAAGGGCUGUAUCCAGGCACUCCACAUUGCGUUGCGCAUAAGAACAGCCCUUAGCUGUGGUACAUU
ensembl:lncRNA